GGGCGAAGUGUCGUGGUAGUUGGCCGUGUUGAUGACCGUCUCCCCGCUCUUGAUGCGUGUGCGCAGAUCGUACUUGACGAUGUUGCGUGUGCGCUCCUUGUUGUAGAAGACCGCACCGUCGUAGACCACAAAGCCCGUGCCAUCC
rnacentral:miRNA from 1 species